UGCUGCUUCCAGUUUUCUUUCCUGCCCUUCCUUUCUUCCUAAGAGACAGGAUGCAUCUUCGUCAUCUGAGGAAGGACAUGCAUGGGGCAGGACUUUUACAGUUGUGGCAACCACACUUUGGAAUUCUUUACAGAGGGAGAUCUGCUGACCUGCUGACCUCAUCUUCAUCUUCAAACACUCAAGCUGUGCGCUGGGAAGAAAGUCAAAUCACAUAUCUCAAGGGCUAACUGAUUAUGAUUGUGUCUGUAUGCAAGAAUACAGCCUUGAAUCAAUUAAUGAGCUAUGUGCCAAGGAUUAAGCCUGGGCAAUCAAAAAUAAUUAGGUAUCAGAAGCAAAUCUUAACCGCAUCAGAGGCCAGGGAGAAAAUUUGACAUUUUAAAAUGUUUAUAGAUAGCUUGAAAAUCCUGACAAUGUAGACUGGAAAUUAUUAUUUGCAUAAUUCUGAUAUAUUUUGGAGAGGAAAUGUAUUAGGCUACAAUCCACUUAGUUCUUCUUUACUAAGAAGUUCCGUUAAUACUUCCCGCUCAUGUACUUCCCUCCCCCAAGAACUUCACUUUUCUUCCUCUCUUGCAAGAUUUAAGUGGAUCCUAGGCUUUCUUAUUCUGCCAAGCUUUUUAUUGAUUUUAUCUGAUGCUGUUUUAAUUACAUGUUACUUCUUCCAUUGUUGUCUUAGUUUUAACAUUUUUAUUGUAAUCUGCCUUGUGAAGGACUUGCCCUAAAGGGCAGAGUAGACAUAUCAUUAAUAAAUACAGAGAAGUAGUAGUUUCUAACAGCUAAGUCUCCAUGUGAUGGUUUAAGGCAUUCUGCAACAGGGAAUAUGAUAUAUGUUUCGAAUAAUGCAUUGAAUUUUUCUCUCUGAAUUUUUUAACUCCAGUCCCAGAUGGAUCAGUUCAAUUUAUUCAAACUAGAGAGUGCCAAGAAACAUUUCAGAGGGUAAACAAAAUAUGUGUAUGUUUGUUUCAUGGCUAACAUCAAUUUUUAGAGCUAGGCACACUACUGAAGUAAGAAAAUGUUUAAAACUUGUUGGGCCUGCGUCAGAGGCGGCCAGUUCAGGUCCUGGCUGAGGGCCCCUACAGCCCAGAGGGGCCCCUGAGGAGCCUCUCCUUAGGGUGGGAGGGUAGUGCUCCACUUCUGCAAUCCACAGCAGUGUCAACUCCUGAUCCUGCCACAGAUUACAGAGAGGGAGCUCCCAGCCCCCACAUACAGACUGCGUGGGCCCACAAUGCCCACCCACAUGCCCCAGUUUCCUCUCCCUUGCCAUGAAUGCUGUGUGUGCGGCACGCGCAUAUCUGCGAUC